rnacentral:rRNA from 1 species
UGACGAGUUUGAUCCUGGCUCAGAGUGAACGCUAGCGGUGCGCCUAAUACAUGCAAGUCGAGCGAGGCUUCGAGCCGAGCGGCGAACGGCUGCGUAACACGUUGGUACCUGCCCCCGAACUCAGGGAUAACAUCGAGAAAUCGGUGCUAAUACCGGAUAGUCCCGAAAGGGUAAAGAUUUUUCGGUUCGGGAGGGGCCUGCGGCCUAUCAGCUAGUUGGUAAGGUAAUGGCUUACCAAGGCUAUGACGGGUAGCUGAUCUGAGAGGAUGAUCAGCCAGAAUGGGACUGAGACACGGCCCAUACUCCUACGGGAGGCAGCAGUAAGGAAUAUUCCGCAAUGGGGGAAACCCUGACGGAGCGACACCGCGUGGAGGAUGACACCAUUUUUGGCGUAAACUCCUGUCCUGAGGGAAGAAAUUUUUGACGGUACCUCAGAAGAAAGCACCGGCUAAUUCCGUG